GACGAACGCUGGCGGCGUGCCUAAUACAUGCAAGUCGAACGCAGUGGGGACGGGUGAGUAACACGUGGGUAACCUCCCAUCAGAGGGGAUAACACUUGGAAACAGGUGCUAAACCGAUACUGAUGGAUGGACCCGCGGUGCAUUAGCUAGUUGGUGAGGUAACGGCUCACCAAGGCCACGAUGCAUAGCCCACCUGAGGUGGGUAUUGGCCACACUGGGACGAGAACCCGGCCCAGACUCCUACGGGUGGCAGCAGUAGGGAAUCUUCGGCAAUGGACGGAAGUCUGGCCGAGCAACGCCGCGUGGGUAAAGUAGGUUUUCGGAACGUAAAACUCUGUUGUUAGAUGAACGGGAUCUAACCAGAAAGCCACGGCUAACUACGUGCCAGCAGCCGCGGUAAUUC
rnacentral:rRNA from 1 species